rnacentral:lncRNA from 1 species
GCCGUUUAUUAGGAAAGCGAUCAACAACAUUUUCUAUAGGUUUAUCUAUGAGACGGAGAGGCACGGCGGGAUCGGGGAGCUUUUGGAGAUUCUAGGCAGUAUCAUAAACGGGUUUGCGUUGCCUAUGAAGGAGGAGCAUAAGCUGUUUCUCAUCAGGGUGUUGAUACCGUUGCAUAAGCCUAAACCGAUAGCGAUAUAUCAUCAGCAGUUGUCGUAUUGCAUCGUUCAGUUUGUGGAAAAGGAUUAUAAGCUAGCGGAUACGGUGAUCAGGGGGUUGUUGAAGUAUUGGCCUGUGACGAACUGCACCAAGGAGAAUCUCUUCCUUCAGGAACUUGAAGAAGUUCUUGAGGCAACACAGCCUGUUGAGUUCCAGCGUUGUAUGGUUCCGUUGUUCCAACAGAUUGCUCGAUGCCUCAAUAGCUCUCACUUUCAGGUUAGUAGUCUUGUUAUACACAUCACCUUAAAGCUGGAUAUUUUGUUUCUUUAGCUAGUUAUGUUUCGAAAUGAAUUUAGCAUAUGGAGGUAAUGAAUUCGAGAUAUUGUGUGCUAGUGUCCUCUAUGAGUAUCACCUUCAAGUUAACUUGGGUGUGAUUCUUUCACGUGAAAAGAGUAUGCAACUUUAGUGCAUCACAGAAUCUAUGUUGCAAUUGUCUUUAUAUUGUUUGCUUUUUCUCCUUUUAUCCCUUUCAAUUCACAAAAUGAUCAUGAUAAUGCUACACUCAUUUAGUUGAUGGGAUUAUCUCAUGUUGUUGAUAGAUACUACUCUUGAAAAUGGUCCUUGGAUUCUUAGACCAUCUUUAUUUACCUAAACCAUACCAACUCGCUGAGUCCAUUGGUACUAUUGCGUUUGCCAUGGAUUUCAUUGCACAAUGCUUUUAACAAGAGAAUAGCUCGGAAAAGAAGAUGUAAGGAUCUUUCUCUGUGUUGUAUCCAUUUGUGUUUUAGACUGGAGCAGGUUUGAUCUCAUUGGUUCUAAUCACAAGUCUGUAAUUAAUUUCAUUGGAUGCUAGCAAUUACACAAAAUUUCCUGUUAAAUCUUUUUGCAAUAGCUCAAACUUUGCAAUUCUACGUGGGUUUUGUGCCUUGUACUUACAUUCAUAUCUCAUAAAAAUCUUAUAAAAGGUUGCAGAACGAGCAUUGUUCCUGUGGAACAAUGAGCACAUAGUGGGUCUAAUCGCGCAGAACCGAAGCGUAAUCCUUCCAAUAAUAUACCCCGCACUGGAGAAGAACAUCCAGUCUCACUGGAACCAAGCAGUUCAUGGUCUAACCGCAAAUAUCAAGAAGAUGUUCAUGGAGAUGGAUCCUAAACUCUUCGAAGAAUGCCGGAGACAGUACGAAGAGAAACAAGCCAAGUCCAAAGAAGUUGAAGAACAACGCCAGUUUACAUGGAAGAGAUUAGCUGAAGCAGCAGCAGAGCGAGACGGAGUUGGAGGAGAAGAUUAUAUGAUCACUUCCUAGAUCAGUAACAAAAAUGGUAUUACUCUCACUUUUUUUUUUUGGUUCUCUCUCAAAUUAAUCAAAAUCGUUUACUAUUAAAAUCUUUCUUCCAAUGUAUAAACUUUCGAUUUGUUUUUUGUUGUGAGAAUCAUCUAAUCUGAUUCUGGUUGCUCAGAGAAUAGUAGAGCGAAGUGAGCCAAUCACUAUCAGAGAAUGUGUUUUGUCUGUAUGGAUCGGGCUUUAGUACUAAGAAUGUGUUUUAUGAUCUUCUGUCCAACUUAUUUUUUCUAUGGAAAUUUUGUGGAAACUUUAUGUUAUAUAAAAGCAGGCAAUGAUCUUCAGUGUGGUGGAUAUCAUGAGAGAUUGGAAAAUCGGAACACUUUUAACUAAAACCAUUCAUCUCUUGUUAAGAAGAAAAUGUCUAAUUGUUUUGAGAUUUCUUCCGGUUAUGUUUUGCUACAAACUUUUGCGUGUGACGUAGUUUUUGUCUUUUAAGCAAACUCGUAUCAUGACAAAACACGUUAAUCAGCAACAAAGCUAAAAUUAAGAAAUCUUAAUCCCAUGCAUAUUUAUAGUCUUCUUGUAUGCCUUUUAAGAAUGUAGUCUAGUUGAUGUUCAUGAGCAUUGCACAAUGGUUUUAAGCCUUUUCAAUGGUUAAACCGGCAAAGCUAUUCGAUAGUUUCUAACAAAUAGGGAAUCAGUCAAAAAAGGCAAGUAUUGAUAUAAAAUCUUACAAUAUACACGAAAAUGGAGUUAGUAUAAUAUCUAAAAGUACGUUAGGAAUUUAUUGUCAAGCGGGGAUAGCUCAGUUGGGAGAGCGUCAGACUGAAGAUCUGAAGGUCGCGUGUUCGAUCCACGCUCACCGCAAUUAUAUCAUUUUUCCCUUAUUUUUAAUGUAAAGUGCUUAAUUAAUUUAAGGUGAUGAUUGUUUUCCUAGUUUUUAGAUUCUAGUUUCUGAUUUUUGGAUUUUUGUUUUUUGUUUUUGUUUUUGCAAUAGAUUUUGGUUUUUUGUAAAACAUGAAUGGUUGUUUUAGAUUUAGAUUUUUAGUUUUUGGUUUUAUUUUUAAAAUUAAUAAAAUAAAAGUAUUAUGAAUAUUAAAAUAUAAAACACUGUCAUUAAAAUACACGUAAAUUUAUUUACAAAAAUUAUUUUAAAACAAAAUAUAAAUACAAAAUAAAACUAUCAUAAAUUCCAUAUAAAUAUACAUAUAUAUAUUAAUUUGAUCUUGAGUGCCUUUCAUAUUUGAUCUCAAAUGCUAUUAUACAAGUAAUUAGGCAUUAUAAAAAAUUAAUAUCAUACAUUUGAUGAUAUUUUUCUAAAAUAACAUAAUUUACACAUAUAUUUCUAUGGUUAUUUUUGUAUAAAUAAUUUCUAGUAAUUAAUUAAAUUAGUAACUUUUAAAAUAAAAUUUCCUUUUGAAAUAUUUUUGAACUUCUUUUAAUUUACAAGUAAGCGAACUUCUUCUAGUUUACAAGUAUGAUCAAAUAGUUUUUGAGUGUUGAGAUGAAAAUCUCGAAAAACAAUUGCUCUACUUGUAUGUAUAAUCACUUAUUUUAAAUUAAUAAAAUACAAAAAAAAUUGAUGAUGUGAUGGUGAGGUGAAGGUACGAGAGUGGAAAGAAGUAUAAAAAUGAGAUAAACAUAAAAAAAAAAGACCAGUUACAAAAAAAAGAAAAGAAAAACCAUUAAAAAGAAAAUGAUAAAUAAAAAAAAAUCACCCUAGGAAACUGAUAGAAAUCUAUAAAAAUACAGAUUUUAGUUUUUGUGUAGAAUUAGGUAGUUAUUUGAAAAACUAGUUUCCCUAUUUUGUAGAGAAUUAUUUUUAACAAAAUCUUGAUUAGCAAAUAAAGUAGUUUUACAAAAACAAAAAACCAAAAACCAUUUUAAAAACUACAAACAAUCAACCUAUAAGUUAAUCCCUUCUUGUUGUAUCUCUCGAUUUAUGGCAUGUUGUCUUUGUGCCAAAACUUGACCACUCUAGGCUAGGUAACAUUGGUAAGAAGAAGACGAGACAUCGGUUUGUGGCUGGACCAGAUAAGAGUGUAGAGGAGGAAAGACGACGUUAAUUUAGCUGAAGGGUGUUUAUAACUUAUCUUCUCCGUGAUGAAUGAUGACCUGUUGGCUUUUGCUAAUGGUUUUUCAUUGAUCUGUUUUAUUAUGGUGGCUUCUUCUCAGUUUGUGAAAAAGGUGGUAAGUAAAGGAGGGACAACUUGUUAUUGAGGUCUUGUGGUUCCCUAAUGUCUUUUUGUUUUAGUGAUGACUUGAUGAUAUAUGGUACAUUCAUUCUGACGGUUGAAACUACUCAGGCUGCGGACAAGCUUGUUGCUGAGUUUGCAGUCCCAGAUAACAAAGGAGAAUCCUCAGAUCAGGUUCUCUUAUAUUUUCUCAUAAAAUUUGGAUAUGAAACAUUUCCGCAUACUUUUUUGUGUGCGAGUACUGAGAGGUUCUUAGUGUAAAGAACAUGUUUUUUUGGUAGGUACAACAAGAAGUUGUAUCAAGAACAUGUUUGUUGAUUAAUUCAACAACACAUUUCUUUUGUGUUUUUUGGUAGGUGCAACAAGAAGUUUCACCAACUCCCCAUAAUCUCCUAUAAAUAACCACACAAGGAGAAGAAGAAAUCCAUCCCAAAAACAAAGAGAAAACAAGAGAAGAAGAGAGUGAGCAAGAGAGAGAGAAAAAAAAAAAAAUCUUUCUUGUGAGAAAAUCUUUCUCUAUAAGAAAUUAAGUGUAAUUUCUUGAGUGUAUUUGGGGUCGGGUGUGAGUUGAGAGCUUGUAAAAAUUUCCCGGGUUGAUAAUAAAAGAUCUGUAGCAGGUCCGGAGACGUAGGCAAAAGCUGGCCGAACUCCGUUAACAAUUUUGUGUGUGUUUUCCCGCUCCCCUAAAUUCCGCAAAUUCUGGUUUUCCGCAAAAUUUGACCGCAUAUUUCCUAACAACUGGUAUCAGAGCCUGAGUUACGGUGAUCGGUCAAAUUUUUUGUGGGGUUACUAUUCACGUGAACAGUACUUCGUGAAUAGUGAAUUUUGUCAGUAACAUCGGUUUGUCGACGAAGGUGUUCUAAUACACGGUGGUUCCAGAAACGAUGGGAGGCGAAGACGGUUUGGCGCAUAGUAUCGGGAAAUUUGACGGUACAGAUUAUGCAUUUUGGAGAAUGCAAAUUGAAGAUUAUCUGUACGGAAAGAAGCUUCAUCAACCGCUGAGCAAGAAGCCUGAGAAGAUGGAUCAGGAUGAGUGGGAGCUCCUUGACAGACAAGUUCUGGGUGUUAUAAGGUUAACACUGUCGAAAAACGUUGCUCACAACGUUGCGAAGGAGAAGACCACGGAAGGGCUCAUGAAAGUUCUCUCUGACAUGUAUGAGAAACCUUCGGCAAACAAUAAGGUAUUUCUCAUGAAGAAACUCUUUCAUUUGAAGAUGGAAGAAGGUGGCCUGGUUGCCGCACAUGUGAACGAGUUCAACACGAUUGUCAACCAACUGUCAUCGGUUGAAAUCGAGUUUGAUGAUGAAGUGCGAGCACUGAUUUUGUUGGCAUCUCUGCCAAAUAGUUGGGAGCCGAUGAGGGCAGCGGUUAGUAAUUCUGUGGGUACUCAAAAGCUCAAAUUCAAUGAUGUUAGAGAUCGUAUCCUUGGUGAGGAAGUUCGAAGGAUAGACUCUGGGGAGGCAUCAACGAGCUCUGCUUUCAACGUGGAAAACAGAGGGAGAAACCCAGAUAGAAAUAACCGGAGUAAUGGCAGAUCGAAGUCAAGGAAUGGAUGGGGCCAGUCCAAAUUCAGACAGCCUGCAGAGUGCUGGAAUUGUGGAAAGACAGGUCACAUNNNNNNNNNNNNNNNNNNNNNNNNNNNNNNNNNNNNNNNNNNNNNNNNNNNNNNNNNNNNNNNNNNNNNNNNNNNNNNNNNNNNNNNNNNNNNNNNNNNNNNNNNNNNNNNNNNNNNNNNNNNNNNNNNNNNNNNNNNNNNNNNNNNNNNNNNNNNNNNNNNNNNNNNNNNNNNNNNNNNNNNNNNNNNNNNNNNNNNNNNNNNNNNNNNNNNNNNNNNNNNNNNNNNNNNNNNNNNNNNNNNNNNNNNNNNNNNNNNNNNNNNNNNNNNNCCAAAGACGUUUUGGGCAGAUGCAAUCAAUACCGCAGCCUUCUUAAUAAACAGAGGACCGUCUGUACCAUUGGGAUUUAAGAUCCCUGAAGAAGUUUGGAGCGGAAAGAAAGUAAAUCUUUCUUAUCUAAAGGUGUUCGGAUGCUUAGCUUAUGUUCAUAUUGAUGAUGCUGCAAGAAGUAAACUUGACUCGAAGUCUAAAAAGUGUUACUUCAUCGGUUAUGGUGACACGGAGUUUGGUUACCGGUUUUGGGAUGACGAAAAUCGGAAGAUCAUCCGCAGCAAGAAUGUUGUGUUCAACGAAGAAGUGUUGUACAAGGAUAAGCUAAGAGAAGGCUCGGAGAGGAAAGAGCCUGGAGCUGUUGACUUAGAUGAUAUCCUGACACCAGGGUUGCCACAGGAUACCGCAACAGCAGAAGAAGAAAUCUCUCAAGACGAGAGUGGUGAGGCUGAAGAAAGUGAUGAUUCUGAAGUGGUCCCACAUACACCAGUCACGGAGUUACGACGGUCAAGCAGAAUCAUCAGAAAGCCAGUAAGAUUCUCUCCAUCGCUUAACUAUAUUCAGCUCACAGACAGAGGCGAGCCUGAAUGUUAUGAGGAAGCUAUGCAAGUUGAUGAGUCGAUCAAGUGGGAGCUUGCAAUGAACGACGAGAUGGACUCGUUGUUAUCCAAUCACACGUGGGAGUUAGCAGAUUUGCCUAAGGAGAAAAAGGCAUUGCAUAACAAGUGGAUCUACCGAAUAAAAGAAGAACCUGAUGGGAGUAAGCGCUAUAAAGCGAGGCUUGUUGUGAAGGGAUUCCAACAAAAAGAAGGCAUUGACUACACCGAAAUCUUCUCUCCUGUAGUCAAGAUGGUGACCAUUAGAACGGUUCUUGGGCUGGUAGCACAAGAAGAUCUGCAUCUUCAACAGAUGGAUGUGAAAACGGCAUUUCUUCACGGUGAUUUGGAUGAGGAAAUUUAUAUGAAGCAACCCGAAGGCUUUGAGAUCAAAGGGAAGGAAAGCCUUGUUUGCAAGCUGAAAAGGAGUUUGUACGGCUUAAAACAAGCUCCAAGACAGUGGUAUAAACGGUUCGACAACUUUAUUAAAGGCGUUGGUUUCUUGAGGUGUGAAGCUGACCACUGUUGUUACUUCAAGACGCUUGAAGAGUCCUACUUGAUAUUGCUCCUAUAUGUCGAUGACAUGCUGAUAGUAGGAGCAGACUUGCACGAGAUCAAUAGCUUGAAGACGAAACUCUCAGAAGAGUUUGCGAUGAAAGACCUUGGAGAAGCAAGACAGAUUCUAGGGAUGAGAAUCAGUAGAAGCAAGGAAGGUCUUAAGUUAUCACAAGAGGAGUAUGUGAAGAAAGUCCUCAAGAGGUUUAACAUGGAUGACGCGAAGCCAGUUAGUACUCCCCUGGCAAGUCACUUUCGGUUAUCCAGAGAACAGUCUCCAAAGACGCUCGGACGAAGCACAUACAUCGUCGAUAUCAUUUCAUCAGAUCAGCGUUAGAAGAUGAAAUGUUGGUGCUUGAGAAGAUCCCAGGAAGCAAGAAUCCGGCAGACAUGUUGACGAAGGUCGUGCCGUAUGACAAGCUGAGGUUGUGUGCAACCUCAGUUGGCUUGUUGGAGUAACAAGCUGGGAAGACCUGCUACAUUGAUCAAGGUGUGAAGACAGAUUAAAAUCAGUCUUCAAGUGGGAGAUUGUAAAGAACAUGUUUUUUUGGUAGGUACAACAAGAAGUUGUAUCAAGAACAUGUUUGUUGAUUAAUUCAACAACACAUUUCUUUUGUGUUUUUUGGUAGGUGCAACAAGAAGUUUCACCAACUCCCCAUAAUCUCCUAUAAAUAACCACACAAGGAGAAGAAGAAAUCCAUCCCAAAAACAAAGAGAAAACAAGAGAAGAAGAGAGUGAGCAAGAGAGAGAGAAAAAAAAAAAAAUCUUUCUUGUGAGAAAAUCUUUCUCUAUAAGAAAUUAAGUGUAAUUUCUUGAGUGUAUUUGGGGUCGGGUAUGAGUUGAGAGCUUGUAAUAAUUUCCCGGGUUGAUAAUAAAAGAUCUGUAGCAGGUCCGGAGACGUAGGCAAAAGCUGGCCGAACUCCGUUAACAAUUUUGUGUGUGUUUUCCCGCUCCCCUAAAUUCCGCAAAUUCUGGUUUUCCGCAAAAUUUGACCGCAUAUUUUCUAACACUUAGAACUCUGUCUUUACUUAGUUUAGUUUCUAAGAAUCCUUAGGAAUAACAAGAAAGAGUUGGUGAUAGGAGUCACGUAAGAAUUUUCUACAAAAGCUGUAUAUCAAUAUAAUGCCUUGAGUGAGACAUUCAAACAAGUAUAUAAACGAAAAUACUUUGCGUCAACCGUUAUGUUAUUGUAAUCACUAUCCUUUGUAAUUGGAAUAAUGAUGUUUACUGUUUACAUACACAUAUAUAUAUAUAUAUAUAUGUGUGUGUGUGUGAAUUUCUUUUAGCCACAUAUAUGUAAGGAUGGAUUCAAAUCUCUUACGUACAGCCUUAACCUCUUUUUUACAAGCCAUGAACUCCCUCAACCGCUCUUCUCCUCCUACAACUUUCUUAUGCCCUAGGCUACGAUACAAAAACCAAAUGGACCCAAAAACCUAUUACAUCGAAAAACGAAAUUAUCCGUAUUUAGAAGAAUCUCACCAUCUUUUCCCGUGCGAUACUAAAUUAGAAAAACGUUUGCGAAAUUUCUUUUCGGCUGCAACUGGAAUGCUAAAUUUUAGAAUGGAAUUGUUUGGAAUGCAUCAUUCCACAGAAUUCCAAAAAAUAUUUACCAGUUACAUGGAAAACCUUUUGAAAUCAAUUCCACAUAUUCCAAAAAUGGAAUAAAACUUAAAAACAAAUCCUUUGUAAAAUCUUUUCCAUUUGUUCCAUAUCAAAAAUGAUCGUGAAUGUGUGGGAUGAUUGGAAUUCCAAUUCCAAAACAAAUUUCAGUUUUUAUUCCAUUUUGUUUAUCAUUCCAAUUUUCUUUAUUCCACAUAUAAUUAUUCCUUUUAUUCCAUGUAUUCCUAUUAGGAAUAACCAGUUACAGCCAUUAUUUCGAGGGAUCAUGUAUUUUAGGAUUAUGUAGAGAUUAAUAGGCUAUGUGCCUUAAUCAGUGUGUAAGGGUAUAAACUUUCUAUUAGGAAUAACCAGUUACAGCAAUUAUUUCGAGGGAUCAUGUAUUUUAGGAUUAUGUAGAGAUUAAUAGGCUAUGUGCCUUAAUCAGUGUGUAAGGGUAUAAACUUUCUAUUAGGAAUAACCAGUUACAGCAAUUAUUUCGAGGGAUCAUGUAUUUUAGGAUUAUGUAGAGAUUAAUAGGCUAUGUGCCUUAAUCAGUGUGUAAGGGUAUAAACUUUCUAUUAGGAAUAACCAGUUACAGCAAUUAUUUCGAGGGAUCAUGUAUUUUAGGAUUAUGUAGAGAUUAAUAGGCUAUGUGCCUUAAUCAGUGUGUAAGGGUAUAAACUUUCUAUUAGGAAUAACCAGUUACAGCAAUUAUUUCGAGGGAUCAUGUAUUUUAGGAUUAUGUAGAGAUUAAUAGGCUAUGUGCCUUAAUCAGUGUGUAAGGGUAUAAACUUUCUAUUAGGAAUAACCAGUUACAGCAAUUAUUUCGAGGGAUCAUGUAUUUUAGGAUUAUGUAGAGAUUAAUAGGCUAUGUGCCUUAAUCAGUGUGUAAGGGUAUAAACUUUCUAUUAGGAAUAACCAGUUACAGCAAUUAUUUCGAGGGAUCAUGUAUUUUAGGAUUAUGUAGAGAUUAAUAGGCUAUGUGCCUUAAUCAGUGUGUAAGGGUAUAAACUUUCUAUUAGGAAUAACCAGUUACAGCAAUUAUUUCGAGGGAUCAUGUAUUUUAGGAUUAUGUAGAGAUUAAUAGGCUAUGUGCCUUAAUCAGUGUGUAAGGGUAUAAACUUUCUAUUAGGAAUAACCAGUUACAGCAAUUAUUUCGAGGGAUCAUGUAUUUUAGGAUUAUGUAGAGAUUAAUAGGCUAUGUGCCUUAAUCAGUGUGUAAGGGUAUAAACUUUCUAUUAGGAAUAACCAGUUACAGCAAUUAUUUCGAGGGAUCAUGUAUUUUAGGAUUAUGUAGAGAUUAAUAGGCUAUGUGCCUUAAUCAGUGUGUAAGGGUAUAAACUUUCUAUUAGGAAUAACCAGUUACAGCAAUUAUUUCGAGGGAUCAUGUAUUUUAGGAUUAUGUAGAGAUUAAUAGGCUAUGUGCCUUAAUCAGUGUGUAAGGGUAUAAACUUUCUAUUAGGAAUAACCAGUUACAGCAAUUAUUUCGAGGGAUCAUGUAUUUUAGGAUUAUGUAGAGAUUAAUAGGCUAUGUGCCUUAAUCAGUGUGUAAGGGUAUAAACUUUCUAUUAGGAAUAACCAGUUACAGCAAUUAUUUCGAGGGAUCAUGUAUUUUAGGAUUAUGUAGAGAUUAAUAGGCUAUGUGCCUUAAUCAGUGUGUAAGGGUAUAAACUUUCUAUUAGGAAUAACCAGUUACAGCAAUUAUUUCGAGGGAUCAUGUAUUUUAGGAUUAUGUAGAGAUUAAUAGGCUAUGUGCCUUAAUCAGUGUGUAAGGGUAUAAACUUUCUAUUAGGAAUAACCAGUUACAGCAAUUAUUUCGAGGGAUCAUGUAUUUUAGGAUUAUGUAGAGAUUAAUAGGCUAUGUGCCUUAAUCAGUGUGUAAGGGUAUAAACUUUCUAUUAGGAAUAACCAGUUACAGCAAUUAUUUCGAGGGAUCAUGUAUUUUAGGAUUAUGUAGAGAUUAAUAGGCUAUGUGCCUUAAUCAGUGUGUAAGGGUAUAAACUUUCUAUUAGGAAUAACCAGUUACAGCAAUUAUUUCGAGGGAUCAUGUAUUUUAGGAUUAUGUAGAGAUUAAUAGGCUAUGUGCCUUAAUCAGUGUGUAAGGGUAUAAACUUUCUAUUAGGAAUAACCAGUUACAGCAAUUAUUUCGAGGGAUCAUGUAUUUUAGGAUUAUGUAGAGAUUAAUAGGCUAUGUGCCUUAAUCAGUGUGUAAGGGUAUAAACUUUCUAUUAGGAAUAACCAGUUACAGCAAUUAUUUCGAGGGAUCAUGUAUUUUAGGAUUAUGUAGAGAUUAAUAGGCUAUGUGCCUUAAUCAGUGUGUAAGGGUAUAAACUUUCUAUUAGGAAUAACCAGUUACAGCAAUUAUUUCGAGGGAUCAUGUAUUUUAGGAUUGAUUCUCUAUCGCUCUCAGUUUUCAAAGCCACUCAAAAGCAGUUCUUUGUGGGCUCCACUAGCCCUACCACAUAGAAGAGCGUUCGUCGGGAUCUGAUAUUCAUCUCUGAGAGAAGUCGAGUUUGUGUACACACGCACGUAUAACUGUUGUCCCAAGUAUUGUCUUUCCCACAACUCCGAUCUCAGGUUCCACAUUCCUACGUUGUCUAGACCUACGUAUAUUGCAGUCCAUGAUCUUGGAUACACCUACACAUGUUCAUCCAACAAUAUUUCACACGUGACUCAAACCCCCAACUUAUACGUUUUAUCCAACUGUUUGAGAUCAAAAUAUGAAAGUUUUAAAAGUUUCACCUGAAUAGUGCAGCGUGAGACUGCAUCGUUUAGAUUGUAUACUUUUCUCCUGCCAGGCCUCCACUUUCCCAACUCCAUUCUGAUAGUUAAACCAAGUCCACAAUAGUUAGUUGGUUAAAACAAUUAAAUUGCAUGUGUUAGGGUUCUUUCUUAGUUAGAGAAAGUUUUGAUUAAGCUUACCGUGUAGUUAUUAGCUUAUGGUGGAUGCAAACACGGACAGUUUAGAAUAUAUAUUAGAAAAGGGAUGAGGGAACAAUUUGGAAAUACGUACCCAACAACAAAGAAAGAGUGGCCGUUGAAGUGCCAGCUUUGGACAAUAUCUUCCGAGUUCUCAAAGACAAUCUCCACAAAGGCUUUGUAAUCAGCUUGCAAGACAGAUGUGACAGGGAAUGUUGGUGCAUAUGGGGGCUGGUCAGAUAUGCUUCCAGGCUUAUACACGCCAUCGAUCUUGAAGUAAUCCGCGAGUUUCAAAGGGGUAUCUGAUGGGGUAAAUGAUGCACUGUUCACGGAGUAUCGUUGUUUGCCUUCGAUCUGUCCAACAGAGCUAACAAGUUUGAUGGUUCUAGUGACAUUUACCAUACCAUAGUGGUAUGUACCUUGUGGGUUUGGUCUUGGUCCACUCGCUGUAAGGUUGGUCCUACAACACACGAAGAAAACCACCAAGCUAUAAGGCCAAAAUUUCAUGAAUAUCCUCUACGCUAGCAAAACAAUACAUGAGCUUAUAAUCUAAAGGAUACUGAAGGGGUUUUCUUCAAAAUUGGUGACAAGCACAUAACUGUUGAAGAAUAAAAAACGUACCUGAUGGUUCGAGCUUGGCUAAAAGACCAGCUCAAUGGAAUUGGUGCAGCAGGGAUAGGUCCAGAAACAGGUCCAGCAGAAUUACUAUAGUGGAGAACACCGGUGGUGGUGAGGACGGUUGGGGUUAACCUACUAGAGACCACAAUGUAGUAAUCUUUUGAAGGCUGGUUAGCAGUUAUAAGGACCGAGUAAGACUGACCAACGUGAACAUCAAGCGAUGAGUACACAUUCUGAAGAGUGUGUGUCCCUUCGACUUCAACCAACGUCAUCUCAUGGUUCUGGAUGCGGAAGUUGAGAGAGUUUUGCAAUCCUACAUUUGAUAUUCUCAGCCUAUAUGUAUUACCUGUGGAAAUAUUCACAUCAGAACCAAUUAAAACGUUGCGCAAAUGCUUUUACCAUUAACAAACGAGUGAGAUAAGAGGAGGGAAAUAGAUAAUAGACCUGGUUGAAUGUUGAGUGUAGCACCACUACUAAGACCAUUAAUGAGAAUUCCAUCUGGUGGAGGAAGCUUUCCACCAUUAUCGAGCUGCGCUCUCAAGGCCUACACAAAAGAUUCAUAAAAAUCAUUCAAAGUUCUUAAUUGGUUCCUAUCUAUGACUAUGAAUAAACCAAAAGAAUAUACGAUCCUUAUUGUUUUUUUUUAACGGCAUAUCGAACGGUCCAAUCUUUAUUGCAUGAGGAUUUUAUGAACAUCUACCACAGCAGAGAAUUCUAUAAAUGAUGGCCAUUCAAGGUUAUCACAAUCCUAGAUUCCACAACAAUAAAAUGUUUCGGCUGCAACUGGAAUGCUAAAUUUUGGAAUGGAAUUGUUUGGAAUGCAUCAUUCCACAGAAUUCCAAAAAAUAUUUACCAGUUACAUGGAAAACCUUUUGAAAUCAAUUCCACAUAUUCCAAAAAUGGAAUAAAACUUAAAAACAAAUCCUUUGUAAAAUCUUUUCCAUUUGUUCCAUAUCAAAAAUGAUCGUGAAUGUGUGGGAUGAUUGGAAUUCCAAUUCCAAAACAAAUUUCAGUUUUUAUUCCAUUUUGUUUAUCAUUCCAAUUUUCUCCAUUCCACAUAUAAUUAUUCCUUUUAUUCCAUGUAUUCCUAUUAGGAAUAACCAGUUACAGCCGUGUGGCGCUUGCAAUCAAAAAGCAAAACAUUCUACCACUGUUUUUUGGGCAACGAAUGUAGCCAAAUCUACCACAAAGAAUGUCUUGAACCUCAACCUGAGAUCAAAGUCCCUUAUCAUCCCAAACAACCUCUCCAACUUCUUUUUCCAUCUCCCAAUACACUUCAUCUGUGGAGCAGCAAUUACAAGUGUAAUUGUUGUGGAGAAAACACUAAAAAUUUCUAUUACUCUUGUUCUAUUUGUGAUUUUAAUUUACAUCCUCUUUGUGCAAUAAAUUUGAACAGCCUUUCUAUAAACUACCCAAAAAGGCACGACCAUACACUCACAUACUUCCCUCGAGUAAACUCCUUAACUUGUGAUGUUUGUGCAUUGGGUAAUGAUAAACAUUUCAUCUACGUUUGUUACCAAUGUGAUUUCCUCGUCCAUUAUACGUGUAUCUACUUACCAACCACAAUUAGAAUAUCCCGUCAUUACCACCGUCUUUCUUUCAUUACUCAUAUUACUAAUAAGAAUUGGUCGUCUUGUGGAGUUUGUCGCCAAGGGGUUGAAAAAAAUUAUGGACAAUACUCUUGUGUGAAGGAUUAUUGCGAUUAUGUUGUUCAUUCUAAAUGUGCAACACGAGAAGAUUUAUGGGACGGAAAAGAACUUGAAGGAGAACCAGAAGUCGAGUAUGAAGAUAUUAAGGCGUUUAAAGAGAUAAGCAACGGAGUUAUAGAACAUGACAGUCAUCCAUAUCAUCACAUGAGACUUGAGAAGAAGGAGAAUGGUAGAGUGGAAGACGGAAAACGGUGUCAAGCGUGCAUCCUUCUUAUCUAUGAAUGUAGCAUUUAUAGUUGCAUGCGGUGUGAUUUUAUCCUCCAUGAAACAUGUGCGCAUCUUCCUCGUAAAAAAUGGCAUCCGCUGCAUGCCCAUCCACUUACUCUACAAGUGGCUCAUCAACGUAGAUUCGAGUGCGUAGCUUGUGAAAACCAUUGUUGUGGUUUUGCAUACACGUGCUACGAAGGCGCUUGUUCUUUUCAAUUAGAUGUACGAUGCGCUUUGGUUUCCGAGCCUUUCACUCAUGACUCACACCCACACUCCGUUAUUCUUAACAUCUAACGAAGGCAUCAAACUCAGAUGUUCAAUGUGUGGAAAACUAAAGGAACAUUUGAGCUGUAUCGAAUGUUUUAAUUUUGUUUUUUGUUUCCGUUGUGCCACUUUACCAUAUAAGGUGAAGUACAAACAUGACGAACAUUAUCUCACUUUAUCCUACAAUGAAGAUACAGGAGGAUACAAUUGGUGUGACAUAUGCGAGAAGGAAACAUAUCCACAUGUUGGGUUUUAUAAGUGUGAUUCGUUGUGUAGCAUCACAGUUCACAUUGAAUGUAUAUUGGGGGUAGAUCCAUUUAUGAACCAUGGUCAAGGUUUCGUAAUCAAAGGCUACAUAUGGGUUCGGAUAAUUCCCAACGAUGGUCUUACUCGAGAAAUUUGCAUGGGGUGUCGAAAGCAUUGCCGUUACAGAAUAGCCUAUGAAGCUGAUGAUUUAAAAGGAAGUAGACUAUUACUUUGUUCCAUGGAGUGUAUAUAUUCUGUCCUAAAGCUUCCCAAGAAUAUUUACUCCUAGAGCUGCCCGAGAAUGUUUAACAUUUGCUUGACCAAAGCGAUGUCUUAGUUGUUGGUUCUAGUCCCUGUAUUGUAAAAUGUGUCUGUGUGAUGAAAUGUCUAAAGAAUAAAGUUGUAUCAUCCAAUCGCCUAAAUCAUAAUUCCUAAGGCUAUGUAUGAUGUAUGUUAUUGACAAAAACAAAUGUAUGUUACUGUAGACGAAAAGUGAACGUAACCCAUCCUUAAGGGCAUCUGUAUCGCGCGGUUGUUAGCGCGUCCUUAGCAUAAUAGGUAAUUAAUUUAAAUCAAUUUAAAUCAAUAAUACAGAAAAUGUUAGCUCACGUAUGUUAAUUAAGAAGUUUUAAGUUCGUGUCCUUAGCUGCACGUGUCACAGAGAGAGGGGAAGGAGUGUUCGGUGUUGGGAAAGUCUUCCAUCUCUUUCGACGAAAUCAUUCGCAUCGUCUCCCAUCUCUCUCGACGGUUUCCCUCCACCGAGCUCUCGACCGCGGACUCCGUCGAACCUUCCGGCGAUCUGUCCCAUCUCUCCCAUCUCUCCCAUCUCUCUGUCGAUCCCAAUCUGUCGCCCUCAAUCCCUCGCCCUAAAUCUCUCCAACGAAGCUCUCCAACCAAUAUUUUGGUCCUACCAAUAAUCUUUCAUUUUCUAAUUGUCCUUAACUAAAUCUCUUAACAUAACAAAAACAAUAAAUUAAUCUAAGGACCAAUUUUUUGGUCCUAGCAAUGCGGAUGCCCUAAGGUAAGGGACACGAGACGGUGCUUUAGAAAGUUUGAACAAGCAUUUAAUGAUACCGUACAGUACAGACCAGAGCGCGAGGUGGUUGACAAAAACAUAUGACUCUCUACUCGAUUUUCUAGAUAAUGACAGAUAUCUUCUCUUCUUUUAUAUGUACGAUUGUACGGUAUGUCUUUUAAAUGAUAAGAUAUACAACUACACGUAUUAUCUUUGACUACUAUAAUACAGACCCAGCAUGCACUUCAAGAUGUCUGAGUUUCAGUGAAAAAAAUAUUGUAUACAUGCAAACCUAAAUAGCUUUUGUAUUGGUAACUUUACUUGUUCUACUACACAUUUGUAGGCCUGGGCAUUUUGGAUAUCGGUUCGGUUCGGUUCGGGUAUUUCGGGUUUCGGGUAGUUCGGGUAGGGACUAGAGGAUCCAUUUAGUACUUAACCUAUUUUCGGUUCGGUUUGGUUCGGAUAGUUUCGGGUUCGGUUCGGUUCGGAUAGUAAAUGUAGGAACCGGAAAAUAUCCGGAAAAAGUUCGGUUCUCAUUUGGAUCCGGUUCGGGUUCGGAUAGUUCGUGUAGUUCGGAUAAUUUGGAUAAAAUAUCGGUUAUUUAGGGUAAAAUAUCAAAUAAUUAUGAUGAUUUAGAUAAAAAAAAUGGAUAUUUCGGAUUACUUUGGAUAUUUCGGAUAAAACUAUUCGGUUAGUUUCGGAUACUUUCGGGUAGUUUGGAUACUUUAUAAUAAUUUAGUUAUCCUCAACUAUUUUCAGAUACUUUUAAUAGAAUUUUAAAUUUAAAAUAUAUAUUUAGUGAUGUUAUAUGUAUAUAUAAUUAAUAUUUUUAUAUAUUCGGGUAACCGUUCGGUUCUCGGUUUGGUUUCGGUUCGGUUCAGUUAUUUCGGAUAUUAAAAUAUAGGAACCGUUCGGGUAUUUGAGGGUAUUAGUCCGGUUCCGGUUUCGGGUAUUUCGGUUCGGUUCCGGUUCGGUUCUUCGGUUCCGGUUAUUUUGCCCAGGCUACACAUUUGUAUAACUUUACAAAGACAAAAAAAAAUUGAAGCAGAGACUAACUAUAUAUCUUAAAUAUCUUUAAUUAAUUAAAAGAUAGAUUUAAGAGGAAGUUGCAGAGAAAUAGAGCUUCUAUUUGGGCUGCUAAACCGUGUUCUUAUGAGGCCCCACUAUUCUCAGGAGAGCAAAAAAAGAGAACACAAAUAAGGAACGUAAGAGCACCUCCAAUGGUGUUUACCCACCAUUGGAGUACUUAGCAUUAAUUUAAUUUUUUUUUUUUGAAUAGUUAAGGACUCUAAUCAGAAAUAUUGGUCCAAUGGUGUUAUCCGUUUUAGAAUCCUUAAAAAAAAAAACCAUAAAAAGUUCGGUUCUCAUUUGGAUCCGGUUCGGGUUCGGAUAGUUCGGGUAGUUUGGAUAAUUUGGAUAAAAUAUUUGUUAUUUAAGGUAAAAUAUCAAAUAAUUAGGAUGAUUUAGAUAAAAAUUUUGGAUAUUUCGGAUUACUUUGGAUAUUUCGGAUAAAAAUAUCCGGAUAGUUUCGGAUACUUUCGGGUAGUUUGGAUACUUUAUAAUAAUUUAGUUAUCCUCAACUAUUUUCAAAUACUUUCAAUAGAAUUUUAAAUUAUUUUAAAUUAAAUAUAUAUAUUUAGUGAUGUUAUAUGUAUAUAUAAUUAAUAUUUUUAUAUAUUCGGGUAACCGUUCGGUUCUCGGUUUGGUUUCGGUUCGGUUCAGUUAUUUCGGAUAUUAAAAUAUAGGAACCGUUCGGGUAUUUGAGGGUAUUAGUCCGGUUCCGGUUUCGGGUAUUUCGGUUCGGUUCCGGUUCGGUUCUUCGGUUCCGGUUAUUUUGCCCAGGCUACACAUUUGUAUAACUUUACAAAGACAAAAAAAAAUUGAAGCAGAGACUAACUAUAUAUCUUAAAUAUCUUUAAUUAAUUAAAAGAUAGAUUUAAGAGGAAGUUGCAGAGAAAUAGAGCUUCUAUUUGGGCUGCUAAACCGUGUUCUUAUGAGGCCCCACUAUUCUCAGGAGAGCAAAAAAAGAGAACACAAAUAAGGAACGUAAGAGCACCUCCAAUGGUGUUUACCCACCAUUGGAGUACUUAGCAUUAAUUUAAUUUUUUUUUUUUGAAUAGUUAAGGACUCUAAUCAGAAAUAUUGGUCCAAUGGUGUUAUCCGUUUUAGAAUCCUUAAAAAAAAAAAUUAAACAAGAAAAUUUGAAAAUGUUAUUUUUAUUGAAACACAAAAAAAAAACAUACAACAAUUAAACAUUUUCAUCAUUACCAAAUUUGUUCCAAAGAUUUUGAAUCAAAUCAAAUUUAAGUUGUUCAUGUAUAUAUUGGUCAUGAACUUGGCUACGAAUUUCAAGCAUAGCACGGAAAUUUGAAGGCUUGCGAGCAUAUGACAUAUCCACCUCUGAAGUUCUACUCGAUUCGCCUUCUUCAAACUCUGAUAUAUCACACUGAGUAUAUCCAUUGCGUUCAUUUUCUACGAUCAUAUUGUGCAGUAUGAUACAUGUUCGCAUAACCAUCCCGAUUUGUCUCUUGUCCCACAAAAUAGCCGGGUUUUUGACUAUUGCAAAUCGAGCUUGCAAUACUCCAAAAGCAUGCUUUACAAACUAAACCAUUAACCGACACUCCUAUCCGUUUCUAUCAAACUAAUAAGUUCUAACUAAGCGACUAUAGUUUUGUUAGGGAAAGAAGAAUGGUUACUAACCUCAGUGGAGUCGCUCAAGAUCAGCCACCCGCUCUCCCAGCCUUCUAACCUGUGACUGCAUUUCAAAGUAAAGAAAUAAACAAUGAGUUACAAAUCUACAACAAACAAGUAUCUUUACUGAAAGCAUAAACAUACCUUAAGUGCUUUACACUCUCUCAGAAGCUUGUCAUGAUCGUGAACGCGUUGUUUGAGCCUCUCGACCUCUUCUUCCACAGCCAUGACCCAUGGUUGCCUGAAAUAAAGACCGUCAUUCUGCCAAACAAAUAAAGGGAAACUAAUCAGACAAUAAACAAAUAUCUUAGUAACAUAAUCAACAUAAUCAACAUAGAUAGAGAAUCAAUACUAACCUCGAAGUCUUUGCAAAUGAAGAACCUUUUCCCGGGGAGGUAGUCAUAUGUAUCAACUUCAUCUACGGUCCUCUUCAUGAUUGAUCCACAGGGGCACAGUUGGGGAAUGCCCUGUUGCGCAUUUGCAACGAAAUCAACCUGGCUGAUGUACGCUUUGUGUGCCUUCAUAUCUCGGAGUUCUUCCUCCAUAUCAGUACCUGCAACGAAAUAAUUUGAAAAGGAAAACCAUUAUUAGUCGAUUCUUAACCCACGACAAACCCCUAGUUCAUAAUAAAUCCAGGCGAAAAUAAGAAAGAACCAAACUUUUAAAGAAAACCCUAAUUUGAUUUGAACAAUUAGGGUUUUCUCAAUCCCCAACCUCUAAUCGCCUCGACAACAUCAAACCAUCACCAACAGAAGAAGAAAAUAGAAACCCCCGACGAAAACCCUAAUUCGAUUGAAAUCCCCAAAAUAAUUUCAAACCCUAAAUCGUUUAACGCCACAAUCGAACCCUUUGAACCGAUGAAAUUGAACGAAAUCAAAAAGAAGGAGAGGUCGGAUUAUCUUCCAAAAGGCCGGUCGUGACUCGCCUCUCUAUCGCCGCUCUAUCGCCUCUUCGUCGCGUCUCGGGUUUUUUUCUUGCCUCGACAAAGUGAAAGACGACGCGUCUUUCUUUCUCUUCCCACACGAAACACCACCCUGCCAGCGCAUUACGUACCCGGGCGGACUAAUCCUUAACUUAGGAUUAAUCCUUAGCUUUAGGGGUUAUUUUAAUAGUUUUUUAAUCGGCAAAUGGAAGAGAUUACGGCUAAGGACCCCCUUAAAUCAUGCGUUGGACGUGCUCUAACUGCAUUAAAUGUUUAGUCCUAACCAUGAUAUGCCUAUAUAAAAUCUAGAUUCUCUAAUCCAAAACAAUGCAACAACUCCACCAUUAGAAAGCUACAAUGCAAGAAGAAGUUGAACCUUUUCAUUAGAAAGCUACAAACUUGCUGCUUAUUCACAGAUUAUCCAAGAGGGUUGAAGAUUGUGGUGAGUUUGAGGAAGAGGGUAAUGGUGCAACAACGGUUCCCAGUGAUGUUAAAGAAGGGCAUGUGGCAGUGAUUGCUGUAAAAGGAGAGAGAGUUGUGAGGUUUGUUUUUGAGCUUCAAGAAUUGUACAAACCUGAGUUCAGGAAACUGCUUGAACAUGCGGGAGAGGAGUUUGGGUUUCAACCUAGAGGACCUCUCACCAUUCUCUGUCAGCCAGAAGAAGUACAGAAGAUUUUACAAGAAAUUAGGAAAGUAUUGUAAACGGGUUUGCCUAUGAAGGAGGAGCACAAGCUGUUUCUCAUCAGGGUGUUGAUACCGUUGCAUAAGCCUAAACCGAUAGAGAUAUAUCAUCAGCAGUUGUCUUAUUGCAUCGUUCAGUUUGUGGAAAAGGAUUAUAAGCUAGCGGAUACAGUCAUCAGGGGGUUGUUGAAGUAUUUGCCUGUGACGAAUUGCACCAAGGAGAAUCUCUUCCUUCAGGAACUUGAAGAAGUUCUUGAGGCAACGCAGCCUGUUGAGUUCCAGCGUUGCAUGGUUCCAUUGUUUCAACAGAUUGCUCGCUGCCUCAAUAGCUCUCACUUUCAGGUU